AUUGAACGCUGGCGGCAGGCCUAACACAUGCAAGUCGAACGAGUGGCGGACGGGUGAGUAAUGUCUGGGAAACUGCCUGAUGGAGGGGGAUAACUACUGGAAACGGUAGCUAAUACCGCAUACCAUCAGAUGUGCCCAGAUGGGAUUAGCUAGUUGGUGGGGUAACGGCUAACCAGGGCGACGAUCCCUAGCUGGUCUGAGAGGAUGACCGGCAAAACUGGAAUGGAGACACGCUCCAGACUCCUACGGGAGGCAGCAGUGGGGAAUAUUGGACAAUGGGCGCAAGCCUGACGCAGCAAUGCCGCGUGUAUGAAGAAGGCCUUCGGGUUGUAAAGUACUUUCAGCGGGGAGGCGUUACCCGCAGAAGAAGCACCGGCUAACUCCGUGCCAGCAGCCGCGGUAAUAC
rnacentral:rRNA from 1 species